CAAUAGCGUAUACUUAUGUUGCUGCAGUUAAAAAGCUCGUAGUUGGAUUUCUGGUGGGCACGACGGUCAGGCUAUGGCCUCGUACUUGUUGUUGCCCGCCAUCCUCACGGAGAUGCAUGUUGGCAUUAACUUGUCAGUGUGUGGAUCCGUGUCAUUUACUGUGAACAAAUUAGAGUGUUUAAAGCAGGCGUUUUGCUUGAAUACAUUAGCAUGGAAUAAUAAGAUAGGACUUGGGCCUUAUUUUGUUGGUUUGUAGACCCAGGUAAUGAUUAAUAGGGAUAGUUGGGCUCGCCAGUAUUCAGUUGUCAGAGGUGAAAUUCUAGGAUCUACGGAAGACUAGCUGCUGCGAAAGCGUCCGAGAGGGAUGUUUUCAUUAA
rnacentral:rRNA from 1 species